GAGGUGAAGAACGUGGGCCUUAUUAUCUGCAACACCAGCGUCAGAGUAUUUCUGUGUGUCUUGGGCAAAGGCAAGACAACCUCCAGAGAAAGCAUGGACAAAGGUUUCUGAUUUGUCGGGUGAAAAAAAUCUGAUGAAUACCACAGAGUACUGCCUGACAGACCUGCAUGAGAAGAUUUCUCCAACAGAAAAUAGAAGACUUUGUCUCGUUAUUUGGUACCUUCAGAAAUUUGGAAUGCAAGGGCAAAUGACUGCUUUUACAUAUCUUAUGGGAACGACAAAAAUUAAAUAGCAUUUUACUUCUCCAAAACUGGACUGGCUGUUAUCUGAUCAUUUCCUUAUGACAAAAUUUCACUGGUUUUAUAAUGUAGCUUUUUGUCUGUUGCUGUCAUGAAGUUAACUCAAAGUAGCUCUUGUUUUUCUUCUGACAUUAGGAACCAGUCUCUACCUUCAAAAAAUCAGGGUUGAUAUCCCUUAUAAAUCUUUAAGUUGUCUAUGAGAUAUAAAUUCCUUGCUAAUUUCAACACAUAUGCAUUUUUUUGUUUCUAAAGCCCCAUAGAUUAUGGAUUCCUUUGGAAAUUUACUCUGUGUAUUUCCUUUUGUUAUUGAUAAAUGAUGUAAUGUUUGAAAUGUGAUAAAUACCAAUUUUCUGCAACAAUAAUUAACAGCAGUGCUGAUAUUUAACAUAAGAAAACUAAACCUUGGUGUUGUGUUCUGUUAUUUAAUGCAAAUGCUGAUCCUGUUUUACGUAAGUGUACUUUUCCUAAAUGGUAUUGUAGUGGUCAAACCUCAUAAGCUCUGGAACACAUUUACUGAGUCUCACCCUUUCCCUCUUGCCCCUGGGACACAAUGUCAAAGCAAAAAGUCAAGGAUAAAAUAAUAAAUGUGGAAUGUGUCUCAGCUAAGAAAUGAGAAGCAAAAUUCUGGCAAAAACUAAGGGUUUUCUUUUUAUUCACUUUUGAUUAUACAGAAGCUAGUAGAAUAUCAAUCCCUGUCUAUGCACACUGACUUGCAGAAUUGAUGCAGUAUGGAUGAUCUGUAUAAAUCUUUUAAGUGUAACCUCUGAUUUGUUUAAAUGUGUCACUCUUGUUCAUUCACUUUGACACAGCAGUCUGAGAAUUUAAUGUGUGAUGGGCUAUAGAUAACAGUAAUACUCCUAAGGAAAAAAGAGUAUGUGUUUUCAUUUUGUGUCAGAGAAUAGACAGAGAAGGGAAAACAAUAAAAUGCAGAUUUAAAAUGUC